rnacentral:rRNA from 1 species
UCGGGAAUUUUGGGCAAUGGGCGAAAGCCUGACCCAGCAACGCCGCGUGAGGGAUGAAGUAUUUCGGUAUGUAAACCUCGAAAGAAUGGGAAGAAUAAAUGACGGUACCAUUUAUAAGCUCCGGCUAACUACGUGCCAGCAGCCGCGGUAAUACGUAGGGAGCAAGCGUUGUUCGGAUUUACUGGGUGUAAAGGGCGCGCAGGCGGGAUAAAAAGUCAGUGGUGAAAUCCUACAGCUUAACUGUAGAACUGCCUUUGAUACUUUUAUUCUUGAGUUCGGGAGAGAGAGACGGAAUUCCAGGUGUAGUGGUGAAAUACGUAGAUAUCUGGAAGAACACCAGUUGCGAAGGCGGUCUCUUGGUCCGACACUGACGCUGAGGCGCGAAAGCGUGGGGAGCAAACA